rnacentral:rRNA from 1 species
UACGUAGGGUGCAAGCGUUAAUCGGAAUUACUGGGCGUAAAGCGUGCGCAGGCGGCUUUGCAAGACAGAUGUGAAAUCCCCGGGCUUAACCUGGGAACUGCAUUUGUGACUGCAUGGCUGGAGUGCGGCAGAGGGGGAUGGAAUUCCGCGUGUAGCAGUGAAAUGCGUAGAUAUGCGGAGGAACACCGAUGGCGAAGGCAGCUCUCUGGGACGGUACUGACGCUGAGACGCGAAAGCGUGGGGAGCAAACAGG